rnacentral:lncRNA from 1 species
GCUCUCAUAACACUGCUGAGCCUCACAGAUCUGCCACCCUGAUCUGAGGAGUCAUGUGUUUUUAAGUACUGUACUGAACCCAGUGUUCAAAAAUGCCCCGAGAAAUGACCUGUUUACUAAUUCAGAUUUGUUUGUGGACAGGCCAUUUUUAUUAUUUAUUUGCUUGCUUUUUUUUAUUACCUGAUCUUCAACGUAAUAUCCCCAGGAGGGUUACAAACCCACAACCAUAGUGGUUAAACAAUCAUUAUUCAUGCAAAUGUUAUGCCACACUUUGUGGCUCAUUUCCCCAUCUCUUUUCAAAUUGCAAAACAUCAAUUAGGGGGUGUUUGUUUGUGCAAGAACUCCAUAGUAACUUUAAGUGCAGAACUUUAAGUGGAUUUGCCAGUAUGUGAUAGAAUCACACCCCAAAACAGUGCCAGUCUGGAACAGCUAUUAGCCUCAUCAGAGCUUUUCUCCGCCAAAGCGGCAGGGAUGUGUGGACCAUUACCACCUGUCUCCUUUUGCUCAAAAAACUUUAUAAUUUCACCAGACUUUCUUGCUGUGACUUCCAUCCCUGCUCCCCCCUGCCCACACCACCACAGUACUGCAUCUGAGGUGUUUCAGGGAGGAGAAAAUGGGUUGCUGGACAACUGAGAUGCAAGUUGUCUUAUUGCAGAGUGAAAGAAAUUGGCACCACCACUGCUCAGCAUAAUUCCCUUUUCACUGCAGAGGUGGCAAACUUCCUUUUUGCUUGCUUCUCCCGAUGUCAAAAAAUACCCAGCAUUUUAAAUUUCUCCCAGGACUAGUUUUAGUUUUAUAAAAUUUAGCUUUGCUUUACAGUUAGCGAUGGCUUUCCGUAACUGCAAAUCUUUCUUCACUUGACUCUCUGCCUCUGCUUCUUUCUCAUUUCAAAAUGGCGGCUCCUAGCUCUUCAGCGGUCCCCGUUAAUGGACUGAGGGAGCAGGCCAGUUUUGCAUAAGGAGAGACUGCUACUGUCUGACAGCUAGAGGGUAGUCAUCCCACAUCUUGAAAAAAACUCAGCUAGAUGGCAGUGCCUCUCUGGCAGUCUGAAUGUGGAAGGAUGGAAGAAUAAGGAAAAGGAACCCUUCCUGUAGUAUUUCAGAUGCAAAGGUUCUCAUGAAAGAGGUUGUCAAAGGGUGGACACAGGGGCCAGUGACUCUCUCCUUCAGGUGGACAGAACUUGAUCCAGUCAGUCUUCAAGCAGACAACUUCAGCCUGAGGUCACAAUAGGCAACAGUUCUCCUUCAGCUGGGCAGCAUCAUCAUGAGGUAAUAAUGGCCAACUGUCUCACCUUCUGGCAGGUGGCAGGAGACUGCAAGUCUCUCAGCUUCAGGCUCGCAACAUCAGGAUGUGGCAAGGCCCAUGUUCAAUCUUUGGGCCAGGCCACAGGAGCACAAAGUUAUGGUGGCCAGUCUCUCUCCUUUAGGUAGGUGUAGAAAAAGAUAGGAAACUUUGGACAUGCAAAUUGUCCCAUAAUUUUGGGUUUCUUUAAAGCAGGUGGUGCUAAUGUAAGAAGUUUCUGUUCAGUUUGUUAGCAUCUUUUAGCACAUCUUUAAAGCCUGUACGGGAAUUGGGAUGGGGACCUUCUUGAACAGGAAAAAGAAAGAAAAGAAAAUCCUUGAUCAUGCAGGUUUGAAAAGUAGUAGUAGUUUCUCCUCCUCCUAUCUCAUCCAGAGUUUUGAACUGUGGCUGAAAUUCUGGGGAAUGGAGCAAUGGAGAACUUCUGAAACAACAGUGGGAUAUUAGCUCCGCCCAAGGCAUGAUGGAUAAUUGUCACACACAGGAGGAAUAAGGAUAUAGUUUAAAUGCUUCACCUAUAGCUUUAGAAAUAAUUUAAUAUGUCAAGAUGAAUGGAUGUUGUUAAUAUUGCAGUUGUUGUAUAAGGGAAUGUAAUUGAAGUGAAUAAAAUUUUGGAAUGCAGAAACAAAGUACAGUGGUACCUCGGGUUACAGACGCUUCAGGUUAUAUACGUUUCAGGUUACAGACUCCACUAACCCAGAAAUAGUACCUCAGGUUAAGAACUUUGCUUCAGGAUGAGACAGAAAUUGUGAAAUGGCUGCACAGCAGCGGGAGGCCCCAUUAGCUAAAGUGGUCUUCAGGUUAAGAACAGUUUCAGGUUAAGAAUGGACCUCUGGAACGAAUUAAGUAUGUAACCAGAGGUACCACUGUACGUAAAUAAUAAAACCAUCAAUUCUAGCAUGCGGGAGGCCACCUAAAUUUUAUAAUUCGGCAUUUGAAUGAUUGGGAUUAGUAAUUGUAUUCUAACUUGGCAUUGUUAUAAUGAGGCUACCAUUGGAUUAUUGUAAUUGGAAACUAAUAAAAAUUAUUGUUAAAAAAGAAAAGAAAUUCUGGGGGAUCUGGGAAUCUCAAUAACCUAUCCAUUCAUAUCCAUUUCAAAUCCAUUAACAAGCUUACUUUCUUCUAGGAUGUAUCUCAUAAAACUUGGUGUGUCAAGGCUACUUCCAUUACUGCUGCCCUGCCCUUUUUACUAUAUGAAAAUGACACAUUAGAUCAGAAAAUCUGUUUGCUUCCUUUCCAGAGCACAAUUCUUCCUGCCCGUAGUCUUCAGUGCUAAUACCCUUUUAAGUGGCUGAUUUUAAAUGCCUCAUAUGAUUGAAGCUUUCCAUUUUCCUUUAUGGAAAAUCAUUGCUAUAAUGAUCACAGGGCUGGGUUGUAUUAUUAUCCCAAAUAUUUCCAAGUUGUUGCCCUGCUCUUUCCCAAUAUAAUUUGGCUGUCUGUCUUUUCCCCCAGUUGCUUUCAUUUCCAGGAUUGUUUCCUGCGAAAUGUCCUGCUGUGAUGCAGGGCCAAAUUGCCUCUUUGUGGGUUCCUCUCCUGCUUUUUCAUUGCAAUCAUUUCUCUUUUGCAGAGCACUUAUGUAGCCUGGCCCUCCUGAGCAUAUUUGCUGGGAUGUUAAGUGCAACUGAGCUCAGCUGAACUAACUCACAUGAAAGUGUGCAUACGAUUGGAGCUAGAGGCAUCCCAAGAUCAGUGCUUUCGCAUUUAUCUAUAAAUGUAGCCUUGCUGCCUUCCUCUACAACAUGUGGCUUGGCUCACUUCCUUGAGUAGUAGUAGUAGUAGUAGUAGUAGUAGUAAUAAUAAUAAUAAUAAUAAUAAUAAUAAUAAUAAUAAUAAUAAAUUUAUUAUUUAUACCCCACCCAUCUGGCUGGGUUUCCUACAUAUGGAGCUUUUUUUUGUCUAAUGUUACUUUACUUGCCCAUGAAAGUUCAGGUAUUGAAUAAUGAGUAUAAAAACCUGUCUAAAAUGUAUAAAGUGUUGCUGGAGUGGCAUACAAAAGAUGAAGAGGUAAAAGUAGUAAUGAUACACUGGGCAAGAGACUUUGGUGACAAUAUACAGUAUGAUGAUUGGAUGAAAUUAUGGAAUGAAAGGCUAAAAUUUACGGCAUGUACUGCGUUGAAAGAAAAUGUAAUGAAAAUGUUUUACAGAUGGUAUAUAACGCCAGUUAAACUGGCCAAAAUGUAUAAAACAUGCAAUAAGUGUUGGAAAUAUAAAGAAAAAGAAGGUACUUUCUAUCAUAUGUGGUGGGAGUGUACAAAGGCGAAAGACUUCUGGGAAAUGAUAUACAAUGAAUUGAAAAAGAUGUUGAAAUAUGCGUUCGUUAAAAAACCAGAAGCCUUUCUAUUAGGAAUGGUAGGAAACGAAAUCAAUAAGAGAGACUGUAAACUGUUUCAAUAUGCAGUGACUGCCACAAGGAUACUUCUGGCUCAAAGAUGGAAACAGGAAGAAAUUCCAACAGUGGAAGAAUGGAGAAGGAAAUUGACUGAAUAUGCAGAAUUGGACAAAUUGACUGGGAAGAUUCGAUAUCAGAAAGACCAAAAGUUUAUCGAGGACUGGGGGAAAUUUACAGAAUAUCUGAAAAAUAUAUGUGAUGUACAGACAACGCUUGUUGGUUUUGAAGAGACUCUGUGAAAUAGUAAGAAAUACUGCAAAAAAGAGAGUAAGAGGAAAAGGAGUGGGGAAAGGCAAUAUUAUGUUUAGAAAUGCGUCAAUAAAUAGAAAUUUUUCGAAAGAUUGACAGAGAAACUGAGGGAAGUAAAAAAUUGAAGAAUGAGUG